rnacentral:rRNA from 1 species
UACGUAGGGUGCGAGCGUUAAUCGGAAUUACUGGGCGUAAAGCGUGCGCAGGCGGCGCCGCAAGUCAGGCGUGAAAUCCCCGAGCUUAACUUGGGAAUGGCGCUUGAAACUACGGUGCUGGAGUGUGGCAGAGGGAGGUGGAAUUCCACGUGUAGCGGUGAAAUGCGUAGAUAUGUGGAGGAAUACCGGUGGCGAAGGCGGCCUCCUGGCUCAAUACUGACGCUGAGGUGCGAAAGCGUGGGGAGCAAACAGG